rnacentral:lncRNA from 1 species
AAAGACCCGAGCUAACAUGGGGUUAGCUCGUUAAAUUACAAUAAAGCCUCGUGCAGUUUGCAGCAAGCUCUCGAAUCCGCCUGGUGAUUGGGGUGACCGCGAACCUGGCCUGAGACCCCGGAUACUUUCGGGGGUCUAACACUUUCUGUUUUGAGAAAAAGCAGAUUGAGGCACCCUCCCAUACCUAGAGUCAAGAAAGAGAUGCAGGACAGCCUCCAGAGGAACAAGACUUCCUAGAGGAUGAUUUGGAAACAAACUGAACAUGAGAAUGAUUCUCCCGAGGUUUACUCUUCCCAGGAUAGCAUCAGUCUGCACGAGGCAGGCAGCACAUGCCAAGAAAAGAGAGGUCUCACUCCUGAGGAGCAGUGUGAAGUUUCUCCCUCUUCUGGUUUUGACAAAAAUUGAACCAAUUCACUGUACUUAUAUCUUUAGAAACCGUGAGCAUAAAGUGCCCAAAGCUUUUCUCUGUUACUGAAUCUCGGAUCCAAAGCAGCCAUCACAAGUGGUGUGUGUCUAUGUUACUGAAGAAUAUGGGUGGGUGGCUUGUAUCAAUGGAAAGCACAAUCCAAACAUGUUUGUGUAUGGAGUGAUUAGGUUCAUGUUAGAUACAUGUAGAAAUACAGGUUAGGGUCAAGAUAAAAGUGAAGCUAAGAAGUGGUGAUGGAGGUAAAGGGGUAGUGACAUAGUUGGGGGGGGGCUUCUUCUGCAUUCAACUUCACCCAAUAAUAGCUCCAAAACUUCAAAGAAACUAUGGCAUCUUUUUGUUUCUUACCCGAGAGAAUUAGGGAUAAACUAAUCUUGGCAUGCAUAUUAUUAAAAGUUACUCUGAUUAAAUCCGGUGAGACAGCCUAGAGGUGUAAACACAU